UACGUAGGGGGCAAGCGUUGUCCGGAUUUAUUGGGCGUAAAGAGCGUGUAGGCGGCCAGUCAGGUCCGUUGUGAAAACUCGAGGCUCAACCUCGAGACGCCGAUGGAAACCGACUGGCUAGAGUCCGGAAGAGGAGAGUGGGAUUCCCGGUGUAGCGGUGAAAUGCGCAGAUAUCGGGAAGAACACCCGUGGCUAAGGCGGCUCUCUAGUACGGUACUGACGCUGAGACGCGAAAGCGUGGGGAGCGAACAGG
rnacentral:rRNA from 1 species